rnacentral:rRNA from 1 species
UACGUAGGGUGCAAGCGUUGUCCGGAAUUAUUGGGCGUAAAGAGCUCGUAGGCGGUUUGUCGCGUCGGCUGUGAAAACUCGGGGCUCAACUCCGAGCUUGCAGUCGAUACGGGCUGACUGGAGUUCGGCAGGGGAGACUGGAAUUCCUGGUGUAGCGGUGAAAUGCGCAGAUAUCAGGAGGAUCACCGGUGGCGAAGGCGGGUCUCUGGGCCGAUACUGACGCUGAGGAGCGAAAGCGUGGGGAGCGAACAGG